CCAGAACUGAUGGGCCGGAUUUUCAAACAAAAUAGCCACACAAUUGAGCAUGCAAAGAGACCCGUGUAAUUUCAAGCCUAUUUUGCAUGUGAAGUUACCAUGGUUGUGUGCGUGAAAUGUGCGCAGUAUAUAGCACCUUGUUGACUAGUUUCAAAUCGCUGAGAUCAGAAACAGGAAACGUUUCCACUGGCCUUCACUCCACUGCAAUGAGAAAGUAGGACCUAAAGAAGCCCAAUCCGGGCUCAGCACUGCACAAACAACCCAGAGACAUUCCCUGC